AUGUAUUUUACAGACUAAUUUGGAUUCUUGGUGUGUAGCUUCCUCUUUCAUUCUGCUUGCAGCCCAGAUGAUAACUGAAAAGAGAUAUAUGAAAUGUUUACAGCUUAUUUUAUCCUCUCGUGUUCUUCAUUAACUUACUGUGGGUGUUGUUCUUUUAAAAGGCCAAGGUUCAUGGUUCUGUUUUUUAAUUGCAAUUCACUCUUUCCUACUUCUUCCAGGAGCUUCAGCUUUAUCAUUGCUGUGAGAUUUACAGCGCUUCCUUCCAUCGUCAGCCUGCUAAUAGGCAGUGGUUGAACUCCCCGGAGUCUAAACUAGGAAAUAUGAGCAGAACGUAAUUGCUAUAGCUGGAAUCGCAUUCCACUUCAGAAGCUUCUUAACAGCAUUCUCAGAUGUGUGAAUAUCCAUUAGUGACCCAAGGGGAUUACGCCCUGGCACCGAGUUUACCUUUAUGAGGGGACUGGAUGAUGAGACCUUCUCUGCCAAAAGCAGAAGGACAACGGGAAGCAGGAAGUGAAUAUAAAAAGGAGCAACUGGAAUCAACUUUCCGGGAGCACUCACAACCACAAACCGACCUUCAAACAAGUCUCUGAAAAGCCUGGCUCUCACGUGGGCAGCUGCCUUGCUUGUGUGCCCAUGGCAUCCGAGACUGCCGACAUGUACAAAGUUCACUGGAAAAGGAGGAAAAUGUUUGCCUGUGGAGCGCCUUCCGGAGAACAAAUACGUGCAUUCCUCCUUCCUGCCCAUAUUUAUGAAUAAAGGGGAUUUUUUUU